rnacentral:rRNA from 1 species
CCCUUAGAUGUUCUGGGCUGCACGCGCGCUACGCUGAUGCGCUCAACGAGUUCACGACCUUGCCCGGAAGGGUUGGGUAAUCUUUUUAAAACGCAUCGUGAUGGGGAUAGAUUAUUGCAAUUAUUAAUCUUUAACGAGGAAUUCCUAGUAAGCGCGAGUCAUCAGCUCGUGCUGAAUACGUCCCUGCCCUUUGUACACACCGCCCGUCGCUCCUACCGAUUGAGUGGUCCGGUGAGGCUUUGGGAUCUGAGCGGAAAGAGCGUUUCGCUGUUUCUGCUCGGAAAACUCAGUCGAACCUUAUCAUUUAGAGGAAGGAGAAGUCGUAACA